AGCUUUGCGCAGUGGCAGUAUCGUAGCCAAUGAGGUUUAUCCGAGGCGUGAUUAUUGCUAAUUGAGAAAACAGAACACAACUAUAUGUUGUCUACUGGAAAACCACUUUGACUACAGACAAAUUAUAGAUUAAAUAUAAG
ensembl:snRNA U4 U4 spliceosomal RNA